ensembl:lncRNA
GUAUGCUAUCUAACAAAGACAUGUUUCAUAUUGGGUAUGAUAUCUACAAAGAAAUGUUUUCAUAGUGGGUAUAGAAUAUAUAACAAAGAAUGUUUCAUAUUGGGUAGGAUAUGAACAAGAAGGUUUCAUAUUGAGUAUGCUAUCUACAAAGAAUGUUUCAUAUUGGGUAUGAUAUCUAACAAAGAAUGUUUCAUAUUGAGUAUGAUAUCUAACAAAGAAUGUUUCAUAUUGAGUAUGAUAUCUAACAAAGAAUGUUUCAUCAGGUAUGCCGUCUUACAAAUAUUUUUUAAUCACAAGUAUAUUAUCUUACAAUGAUUGUGAAUAUACUCUAAGUUUGCAUGAUAUUCUCCUUGAAGUGUUUUACAUGCAAGGUUUGAGUCUUGGAGACUUUGUAGUAUUUCUUGCCCUGCUGCUAAUCCAUUGUUUGUGCCCUCUAUGUUAAUAAACCUUGGCACUUUGGUUAACUAUUGUUCAUCUCAAUCAUUUGACAGACCUGUGCUUAACUUGUCCCGAGGACCUCCCCUCGUGUAUACAUAAAGGUGGCGCAGUACAGUUUACAUAUCUCUAAAAACACACACUAUCUUUCAGAAACUCUCACCUUUUCUGUCUACUCAUCUCUCUUUUCUGUCUACCCAUAUCUCUUUUCUAUCUACCCAUCUCUAUUUUCUAUCUACCCAUCUCUAUUUUCUAUCUAUCCAUCUAUCAUGUCAUUAUUUCCCUCUCUAAAUCUCCAUCUACACUCCACAAGGUAUACCAGCUACUAUGGAAGAAUUCACAUAUCGCCGAUUUAAGUUUUGAUGUUGCUAUUAUUUAAAUAAACUGGUGUUACACAUCUACACCCCCCCCCAUAUCUCUCUUACCGCCCGCCUCUCCCCACAGACUGACAACCACAAACAGCCAGACAUUUACUAAACAGACACCCGCGGCACUCCGCCCUGCCUCCCGAAGUACAACCUCUCCCUGAGUGUGUCAAGGUUACGCACUCUUCCCCACAGCCUCCAUCUAAACCUGUGGAUUUACAUGUGACAGCAAAGCUUUUCGUGAUAUUAUUUAGCUUCAAAGGCGCAGGGUUUCUUUCAAAUCAACCAACAAGUGAGAAAGUAAGUGCAGCAGAGAGAAAGAAAAUGAUCUUUAUUCAUUMAUUGUCCUCGUUCUUUUCCAUUCCACUCCACACUGUUAUUACUGUCAACUUCUUUUCCAUUCCACUAYACACUGUUAUUACCGUCAACGUCAGACGGAUUCUUUCUUUCAGGGGCCUUGUCGUCAAAAUGACCAAGCUGUAUAGGUGA